UACAGGGGGGGCAAGCGUUGUUCGGAAUUACUGGGCGUAAAGGGCUCGUAGGCGGCCAACUAAGUCCGACGUGAAAUCCCCAAGCUUAACUUGGGAACUGCGUCGGAUACUGGAUGGCUUGAAUUCGGGAGAGGGAUGCAGAAUUCCAGGUGUAGCGGUGAAAUGCGUAGAUAUCGAGAGGAACACCUGCGGCGAAGGCGGGUAGCUGGGCCGACACUGACGCUGAGGCGCGAAAGCCAGGGGAGCGAACGGG
rnacentral:rRNA from 1 species